rnacentral:rRNA from 1 species
UCCGUAGGCGGGCGAUUAAGUCAGAGGUGAAAUCCCACAGCUCAACUGUGGAACUGCCUUUGAUACUGGUUGUCUUGAGUUAUAGUGAAGUAGAUAGAAUAUGUAGUGUAGCGGUGAAAUGCAUAGAUAUUACAUAGAAUACCGAUUGCGAAGGCAGUCUACUAACUGUAUACUGACGCUAAUGGACGAAAGCGUGGGGAGCGAACA